CCUACGGGUGGCAGCAGUGAGGAAUAUUGGUCAAUGGACGAGAGUCUGAACCAGCCAAGUAGCGUGAAGGAUGACUGCCCUAUGGGUUGUAAACUUCUUUUAUAUGGGAAUAAAAUGUUCCACGUGUGGGAUUUUGUAUGUACCAUAUGAAUAAGGAUCGGCUAACUCCGUGCCAGCAGCCGCGGUAAUACGGAGGAUCCGAGCGUUAUCCGGAUUUAUUGGGUUUAAAGGGAGCGUAGGUGGAUUGUUAAGUCAGUUGUGAAAGUUUGCGGCGCAACCGUAAAAUUGCAGUUGAAACUGGCAGUCUUGAGUACAGUAGAGGUGGGCGGAAUGCGUGGUGUAGCGGUGAAAUGCUUAGAUAUCACGAAGAACUCCGAUUGCGAAGGCAGUUCACUGGACUGCAACUGACACUGAGGCUCGAAAGUGUGGGUAUCAAACAGGAUUAGAUACCCUUGUAGUC
rnacentral:rRNA from 1 species